CACUGACAUUAGAUACCCGCGUAGUCCCAGCCGUAAACAAUGUGCGUUAGGUGUGUCGGUAACCACGCGUUACUGAUGCGCCGAAGAGAAAUCGUGAAACGCACCACCUGGGAAGUACGGUCGCAAGGCUGAAACUUAAAGGAAUUGGCGGGGAGCACCACAACAGGUGGAGCCUGUCGGUUUAAUUGGAUUCAACGCCGGACAUCUCACCGGAUAAGACAGCUGAAUGAUUGUCAAUCUGAAGGUUUUACAUGACUAGCUG
rnacentral:rRNA from 1 species